GGAAAACCACAGUCCAGCUGCCUGCGAGAGGAGAGAGAAAGAGACAGGCUGGCUGGAAAGGACAGCUUUGCUGAGCCCCGGAGAAAAUGUCUUGAGUAAUUCUCGAUGCCUGCCGGAAUGCGGCAAGGAAGAUUGUGAGCCUGUGCAGCCGGGGAAAUGAGGAGUCACCAACGUGUCCCACGCAGGCAGCCCAGCCCGGCCAGAACCAGAAUGUAAACGCAGUGGUAUCAGAAGGCCCCCAAGAGACUCCGUUCCCAGGAACAAUGACUCCGUCCAAGACCAGCCCUGCAAGUCCUGAGGGUAAAAGCCCUCGUGAUGCUCCCUAGAUGUCCAUGAGCUCCCUUCCUACAGGUGUCCCCAGGCAGAUCUGUUUGCUGCACC
rnacentral:lncRNA from 1 species